CAGAACACUCGGAACAGGUGGUUCACAGUCAGCAUGUUCUGACUGCAAACCGCUCUGCACAUCCUUAGUCCCUUUUAGAUCGACAACUGAGAAGGCCCAACCUGAAGCUGCCAUCAGAUGAACUAAAGAUGGACCUUCCCUGAUGAUGUUAAUGAGCGGUGGGGAUCUUGCAGAGAAAGAUGCUCUCUCAAGUAGCCUUGGCCUAAGCCAUUCACGACUUUAAAGGGGUGGGCAAAAGCAAAUCUUCCACUCACCAAGAUCUCAUCUGAAUGCAACAUCUUAGCCAAAAGGCAUACCUCAGAAACUUGUAGAGAUACUGACGACUACAUGCUGACCAGGAGAAGACUCCGUUGUGUCCUGCCAGGACAGAAUUUAUUACAAGAAAUAAAACAGAGACCUGGAAAAAAAACAGCAAAAUAUGGAAAAGACAAUUGGAUGGAACCAGUUUGACUCCGAAAAAAUUACUAAGACUAUAUUGAAUAUCAAGAUAUUAGCCCAUAUCUUAGCUAAUCAA